rfam:Haemonchus contortus, ISE/inbred ISE, WGS project CAVP01000000 data, contig: Hcontortus_20731
GGCACAAACAUGAAGUAGAGUUGUUUGUUAGGGUCACGUCACCCGAUCCUACUAAUCUACUCUACUUCAAAUUUGGGCCC